UGUCUUUUUGAAAAUAAUAUAAAGUCUAAUCUGCCCACUGAUUUUAUAUUAAAGGGCUGCAGUAUUUUGACUGUACAAAGGUAGCAUAAUCAUUAGUCAUUUAAUUGAUGACUUGUAUGAAAGAUUGAAUGAAAUAUAAACUGUCUCUUAAUUAUUAGUAUAAAAUUUAAUUUUUUAAUUAAAAAGUUAAAAUAAUUUAAAAAGACGAGAAGACCCUAUAGAGUUUUAUAUUUAAAUUAAUUAAGAUUAUUUAAAAUUUAAAAUUAAAAUUAAUUUAUUUAUUAUAUUGGGGUGAUAGAAAAAUAUAUAUAACUUUUUUUACAUAAAAACAUUUAUAAGUGAUUAAAUGAUCCAAUAAUAUUGAUUAUAAGAAAAAAUUACCUUAGGGAUAACAGCGUAAUUUUUUUUUUUAGUUCGCAUAAAAAAAAGAGUUUGCGACCUCGAUGUUGGAUUAAGAUAAAAUUUAAAUGUAGAAG
rnacentral:rRNA from 1 species